rnacentral:sRNA from 1 species
GCUGGGCAUGGUGGAGCAUGCCUGUAAUCCCAGCAUCUUGGGAGGCUGAGGCAGGAGGAUUGUGAGUUCACAUCCAGCCUCAGCAACUUCAUGAGGCACUUUGUAACUCAGCAAGACCCUGUCUCUA